GCUUCAGUAGUUUAAUAAAAAACAUCGGUCUUGUAAUCCGAAAAAGAAACUUAUUUCCUAAAGUA
rnacentral:tRNA from 1 species